rnacentral:rRNA from 1 species
AGUGAACGCUGGCGGUAGGCCUAACACAUGCAAGUCGAACGGCAGCACAGUAAGAGCUUGCUCUUACGGGUGGCGAGUGGCGGACGGGUGAGGAAUACAUCGGAAUCUACUUUUUCGUGGGGGAUAACGUAGGGAAACUUACGCUAAUACCGCAUACGACCUACGGGUGAAAGCAGGGGAUCUUCGGACCUUGCGCGAUUGAAUGAGCCGAUGUCGGAUUAGCUAGUUGGCGGGGUAAAGGCCCACCAAGGCGACGAUCCGUAGCUGGUCUGAGAGGAUGAUCCGCCACCAUGGAACUGGAACACGGUCCAGACUCCUACGGGAGGGAGCAGUGGGGAAUAUUUGACAAUGGGCGCAAGCCUGAUCCAGCCAUACCGCGUGGGUGAAGAAGGCCUUCGGGUUGUAAAGCCCUUUUGUUGGGAAAGAAAAGCAGCAGGUUAAUACCCCGCUGUUCUGACGGUACCCAAAGAAUAAGCACCGGCUAACUUCGUG